rnacentral:lncRNA from 10 species
AACACACGCUCUGUAAGGCAUGUUUUGCCUGUUAUUGCAUGCUCAGACUCUAGAAUAGCACCUGGCACAUAGUAAGUGGUCAGUUAAUACUAAUGGUAUAAAUACAAAGAGCUGGGAAUGCAGAGAUGAGAAGAAAUCAAGGGGCUUAUAGUUCUGUCCUUGAUCUGAUGGGAUUUGCCUCAAAAGGAAAGCAAGAAUAAUUAAUAACUCAAUGCUUAUGCUUCAGUGGAAAAGACUCAGACACUCAAGUUAUUUCAUUUUCAUAAGAAGGCUUGCCCAAGCUUGAGGAUCUGGUUCCUGAGGUCUUCUUUGAGCCAAGACUCUUGGUGUGAGAUGUAUGAGGACCAGGGUCCACAGAUGAGUCAGACCCUGUGUUGUUGACACCUAAGAAGAUGCUCUGUCCACAGUUUACAUUUCAGCCAUUUGGAUUUCUGAACACUCCUGCUUUCCCCUUGGAGUAUUUUAUGGUGGAUAAAAUGCCAAGGUGUGGAAUCAGUCUUUGGAUGGAGGACGCUUUCUACCAUAAAGAGAGAAAUGGUUUCCUUCUGCAGCCUCGAGGAAAGAAGCGUUCUAUAAGCUUUGGUGUUUAUUUUCUUCUCAUCUAAUGCUAGAGGCCGGAAGGUGCUGUAAUCUACUGCAAACUCAGAGUGCUGCAAACAUGCCCUUCAGAUAAGCAGUGUUCAGCAGACUUGGCACUGCGACUCAACCUGUUUGCCGUAAUCCAGCAACUCCACGCUACUCCAUAAAAAAAAAAAUCCUUGCAAGAAGCUGAAGGACAGGAAGUGCACUGACAUCCUACAAGUGCCUUUUGAUUGACAAUCUGACAUUGAAUUCCUGGAUGGCCCUCCCCGUUCAGCAAAACACAGCAAUCUUGAGAUGGCAGAGAUGGUCACCAAAGCUGGCCAUGGUGUCAGGACUAAGUUGGUGAGUGAUGACAGAUCCUUACUCCUAGGUUGAUCCCUGGGCAGUUUUAAUGUCUGCACCCAGGGACACUCAGUUGGUUUAAACCUUCAUGAAAUCAGCAUUCUCAAAUGAAUGCGCAGUGUCUUUAAUGUGUCUCGGUUCCUCUACUCUCUUCCCCACUCCACAUCAUUUUCAUCGCUAAGAGUUCCCAGGAACUUACAUGCUUACCUGAGCUGUUAACCUCAAGAGUCUUAUUAGCAACAUGUUAUGAUCGCUACAUUCAACAUAGCUCUAUUUUUAGGUUCCUAUUAUAACCCACAGUGAAUCUUCCUCGGAUGCUCCCUUCUCUCUGGAAACGAGCCGAUGCAUAAAAUAUUCCUACUACAGAUUUUUAGGCCGGGCGCGGUGGCUCAUGCCUGUAAUCCCAGCACUUUGGGAGGCCGAGGCGGGCGGAUCACG